GGUCAUUUAGAGGAAGUAAAAGUCGUAACAAGGUUUCCGUAGGUGAACCUGCGGAAGGAUCAUUAAAUGAUGGUACUGGCCCUAAGGUGUGGUAAUACAUGCCGGUGGGCUUCACGUCUAUUACCCUUGUUUUUCGAGUACCUAUGUUUCCUUGGUGGGCUUGCCCACCAAUUGGACACCCUAUUAAACCUUUUUAAUUUUUAAUCAGCGUCUGAAUAAACUUAAUAAUUACAACUUUCAACAACGGAUCUCUUGGUUCUGGCAUCGAUGAAGAACGCAGCGAAAUGCGAUAAGUAGUGUGAAUUGCAGAAUUCAGUGAAUCAUCGAAUCUUUGAACGCACAUUGCGCCCCAUGGUAUUCCAUGGGGCAUGCCUGUUCGAGCGUCAUUUGUACCCUCAAGCUAUGCUUGGUGUUGGGUGUUUGUCCUCUCCAUUGCGUUUGGACUCGCCUUAAAGCAAUUGGCAGCCAGUGUUUUGGUUUUAAGCGCAGCACAUUUUGCGUCUUACUCCCUUGAAUACUAGCAUCCAUUAAGCCUUUUUAUCACUUUUGACCUCGGAUCAGGUAGGGAUACCCGCUGAACUUAAGCAUAUCAAUAAGCGGAGGA
rnacentral:rRNA from 1 species